AUUGAACGCUGGCGGCAGGCCUAAUACAUGCAAGUCGAGCGGAUGAAGGGAGCUUGCUCCUGGAUUCAGCGGCGGACGGGUGAGUAAUGCCUAGGAAUCUGCCUGGUAGUGGGGGAUAACGUCCGGGAACGGGCGCUAAUACCGCAUACGUCCUGAGGGAGAAAGUGGGGGAUCUUCGGACCUCACGCUAUCAGAUGAGCCUAGGUCGGAUUAGCUAGUUGGUGGGGUAAAGGCCUACCAAGGCGACGAUCCGUAACUGGUCUGAGAGGAUGAUCAGUCACACUGGAACUGAGACACGGUCCAGACUCCUACGGGAGGCAGCAGUGGGGAAUAUUGGACAAUGGGCGAAAGCCUGAUCCAGCCAUGCCGCGUGUGUGAAGAAGGUCUUCGGAUUGUAAAGCACUUUAAGUUGGGAGGAAGGGCAGUAAGUUAAUACCUUGCUGUUUUGACGUUACCAACAGAAUAAGCACCGGCUAACUUCGUG
rnacentral:rRNA from 1 species